UGGGGAAUAUUGCACAAUGGGCGGAAGCCUGAUGCAGCAACGCCGCGUGAGGGAUGACGGCCUUCGGGUUGUAAACCUCUUUUAGCAGGGAAGAAGCGAGAGUGACGGUACCUGCAGAAAAAGCGCCGGCUAACUACGUGCCAGCAGCCGCGGUAAUACGUAGGGCGCAAGCGUUAUCCGGAAUUAUUGGGCGUAAAGAGCUCGUAGGCGGUUUGUCGCGUCUGCUGUGAAAUCCCGAGGCUCAACCUCGGGCCUGCAGUGGGUACGGGCAGACUAGAGUGCGGUAGGGGAGAUUGGAAUUCCUGGUGUAGCGGUGGAAUGCGCAGAUAUCAGGAGGAACACCGAUGGCGAAGGCAGAUCUCUGGGCCGUAACUGACGCUGAGGAGCGAAAGGGUGGGGAGCAAACAGGCUUAGAUACCCUGGUAGUCCACCCGUAAACGUUGGGAACUAGUUGUGGGGUCCAUUCCACGGAUUCCGUGACGCAGCUAACGCAUUAAGUUCCCCGCCU
rnacentral:rRNA from 1 species